rnacentral:rRNA from 1 species
ACACUCCUACGGGAGGCAGCAGUGGGGAAUUUUGGACAAUGGGCGAAAGCCUGAUCCAGCAAUGCCGCGUGAGUGAAGAAGGCCUUCGGGUUGUAAAGCUCUUUUGUCAGGGAAGAAACGGUGAAAGCUAAUAUCUUUUGCUAAUGACGGUACCUGAAGAAUAAGCACCGGCUAACUACGUGCCAGCAGCCGCGGUAAUACGUAGGGUGCAAGCGUUAAUCGGAAUUACUGGGCGUAAAGCGUGCGCAGGCGGUUUUGUAAGUCUGAUGUGAAAUCCCCGGGCUCAACCUGGGAAUUGCAUUGGAGACUGCAAGGCUAGAAUCUGGCAGAAGGGGGUAGAAUUCCACGUGUAGCAGUGAAAUGCGUAGAUAUGUGGAGGAACACCGAUGGCGAAGGCAGCCCCCUGGGUCAAGAUUGACGCUCAUGCACGAAAGCGUGGGGAGCAAACAGGAUUAGAAACCCCAGUAGUCCCAUGA